AAAAACUUUCAACAACGGAUCUCUUGGUUCCAGCAUCGAUGAAGAACGCAGCGAAAUGCGAUAAGUAAUGUGAAUUGCAGAAUUCAGUGAAUCAUCGAAUCUUUGAACGCACAUU
rnacentral:rRNA from 3 species